rnacentral:lncRNA from 1 species
AGGGAGAUUAUUAAAAUGGGUGUAACCUCAAGCACUAGAGCCAAGCAGAUCCCAAGACCCCGACUCAAAACAGAUGAUGGACAUGAACAAACUUGAACUUCGGUGAAAAGCUGCAAGCCACAUCGGGUGAGGGGAGGCCCAUCUCCCCCUCAGACUGAGGACAAGGGGAAGGGCCAGGGGAACAGCCAGCUCCUCCCCCACUGAAAGAAUGACCUCCUCUGCCUUGGUUAUGGAAAUACUCUACAGACCUCCAACAAAGAUCUUUUUCCCUUCUUUUUAAAAAAAUCUACUUUUUGGAGUUCCCGUUGUAUCUUAGUGACAACGAACUCGACUAGCAUCCACGGGGUUUCAGGUUCAAUCCUUGGCAGGUUUGUUAACCACUGAGCCACGACGGGAACUCCAAUAAAAUCUACCUUUUAAGGGGCAUACAGUAAAAUCAUCCUUUUUGGUGUCCAGUUCUAUGGACUCUGACAAAUGCAUCGAAUUAAGAGCUAGCUUCACAUCAAGAUACAGAACAGCUCUGUCACUUGAAAACCUCUUCCUUGUGCUGCCCUUUUUCCAAUGAAGAUCUUAAAGCAAACCCUUUCCACAAGGCAAAUCCCCUUCCAAAGAGCCAGAGGCUGCCCAAAUCCUUGUUGUGAUACUGUUGGGAGGAGAAUAUUGACUGAAAACAGAAAGUGGUCAAUGGCAACUUAGACAUUCUGACAUUACAUAUCUGCUUACAGUUGCUUAAAAAAAAAAAAAAGAAAGAAGAAGGGACAUGUUUUCAUGUAGGUCUCGGCCACUCUUCCACUUCUGGGUCUGCUCCUCAUUGGCCUGUCCCCCUGGCCAUGUCCCUGCCUUUUCCAGGCCUCAGCUUCCUGGUCUGUAAAUGAGCACGGCCGAGGAGGUCACCUUCUGAUAAACUGCUCUGAGGACAAUCCUGGGGGCACAGGCCAGGAAAUCGUAAAGCCACAUCAUUUUUAGCUGUUCCCAAAGCCUGUGUCCAGCCCUGAGAAUUAAAAAACAAAAAAACUAAAAAAAAAAAAAAAAAAAAAAA